rnacentral:rRNA from 1 species
GAUGAACGCUGGCGGCGUGCCUAAUACAUGCAAGUCGAGCGAACGGACGAGAAGCUUGCUUCUCUGAUGUUAGCGGCGGACGGGUGAGUAACACGUGGAUAACCUACCUAUAAGACUGGGAUAACUUCGGGAAACCGGAGCUAAUACCGGAUAAUAUUUUGAACCGCAGGGUGCAAAAGUGAAAGACGGUCUUGCUGUCACUUAUAGAUGGAUCCGCGCUGCAUUGGCUAGUUGGUAAGGUAACGGCUUACCAAGGGAACGAUGCAUAGCCGACGUGAGGGGGGGAUAGGCCACACGGGAACUGAGACACGGUCCAUACUCCUACGGGAGGCAGCAGUAGGGAAUCGUCCGCAAUGGGCGAAAGCCUGACGGAGCAACGCCGCGUGAGUGAUGAAGGUCUUGGGAUCGUAAAACUCUGUUGUUAGGGAAGAACAUAUGUGUAAGUAACUGUGCACAGCUUGACGGUACCUAAUCAGAAAGCCACGGCUAACUACGUG